CUUUUUCGCCCCGCCCUUCAAAUGCGAAAGCGACUGCCUUCUUGGAACACUCAAAACUAGCAUCUGAUGAAUGCCUACAUUCAGUCCACAAAGCAACAAUGGUCCUAUUUUUCCCUCCACUUUAAUGAGACCGAUCACUCUUCUAAAAACUAAGCCAGUUCCUUCAAAUUUAACAUGUGAUGAUUAAAAAGAAAUGGCUGGGUUCCGUUCCAAGAUAGCUGAAUAGGAACAGCUCUGGUCUGCAGCUCCCAGAGUGAUCGACGCAGAAGACGGGUGAUUUCUGCAUCACCAACUGAGGUACCUGAUUCAUCUCACUGGGACUGGUUGGACAGUGGGUGCAGCCCACGGAGGGCAAGGUGAAGCAUGACAGGGCGUCGCCUCACCCAGGAAGCACAAUGGGUCGGGGGAUUUUCCUUUCCUAGCCAAGGGAAGCUGUGACAGACUGUACAUGGAAAAUCAGUACACCCCGCCCAAACACUGUGCUUUUCCCACAGUCUUAGCAAAUGGCAGACGAGGAGAUUGCUCUCCCAUGCCUGGCUCAGCGGGUCCCAUGCCCAUGCAGCCUUGCUCACUGCUAGCGCAGCAGCUGGAGAUCGACCUGCAAGGCUGCAGCCUGGCGGG
rnacentral:lncRNA from 10 species